GACGAACGCUGGCGGCGUGCUUAACACAGGCAAGUCGAACGAGUGGCGAACGGGUGAGUAAUACGUGGGUAACCUGCCCUCUGUUUGGGAUAAGCCUUGGAAACGGGGUCUAAUACCUAAUAAAGGGGGAUGGGCUCGCGGCCUAUCAGCUUGUUGGUGGGGUGAUGGCCUACCAAGGCGGUGACGGGUAGCCGGCCUGAGAGGGUGGCCGGCCACAUUGGGACUGGGAAAAGGCCCAAGCCCCUACGGGAGGCAGCAAGUGGGGAUAUUGCACAAUGGGCGGAAGGCUGAUGCAGCGACGCCGGGUGAGGGAUGGCGGCCUUCGGGGUGUAAAGCUCUGUUAAUCGGGACGCGGUACCGGAAUAGAAAGCCACGGCUAACUACGUGCCAGCAGCCGCGGUAAUAC
rnacentral:rRNA from 1 species